rnacentral:sRNA from 1 species
AGUGACAUCAGGUUGGUCCACAUCCUAGCAGUUCUCUUGGUGUUCCUGCGUGAUCAAAGGAUGACUGCCAUACCCCAGCCUGCUGACCUCAGCCCUGGCGUGGGCAUGGGAGGGUCUGUGUGGCUGUGCAUCCAGUGUCCUUCGUACUGCCACACUGACAGCCUCAGGCCUGAUUUCCAGCACUGUCUGUCCUGGAGCAAUGGGAGCAAGAGUCACUCCACAAGACCCUGGAGGCCUGAUAG